AUGGCAUCUAGGAGACUAGGAGGAUGUUCGGCGCCGCGUACUUGGGGUGGAAGUUUUGACGGACAUAUUGAGCCACCACUCCUUGACGGAAUGCUUGUCAUUCCAAGAGGAAAUGUCAAAACUCUCGAGCACAAUCCCCAAAGCCUUGGUGAACCGGCACUUGUAAAAAAGGUAGUUCUGGUUGCCAAUUCAGUGCCAACUUUGAAGUUGCAACUUAAGCUCCAAAGGUACGAGCUUAAAAUUUAUUCUCCUUGCCAAUCCUUAUAUAUGCCUCUAAUUUAUGCUUUGUUUGUUAUGUAUCACUGCAUUGUGGAUCAAUUGGAAAACUGCGGAAGCAGGGCGGCUUUAUAG
rnacentral:rRNA from 1 species